GCACCUACCUGUGGCCGAGUGGUUAAGGCGCGGCCCUGUUAAGGCCGUGGGGUCUCCCCGCGUGCGUUCGAAUCACAUCGGGUGCG
rnacentral:tRNA from 1 species